rnacentral:rRNA from 1 species
GACGAACGCUGGCGGCGUGCUUAACACAUGCAAGUCGAACGGUGAAGCGCCUUCCUUUUUGGUGGGUGUGGAUGAGUGGCGAACGGGUGAGUAACACGUGAGUAACCUGCCCCCUUCUUCUGGAUAACCGCAUGAAAGUGUGGCUAAUACGGGAUAUUCUGGGUCUGUCGCAUGAUGGGUCUGGGAAAGAUAUUGUUUCGGUGGGGGAUGGGCUCGCGGCCUAUCAGCUUGUUGGUGGGGUGAUGGCCUACCAAGGCGGUGACGGGUAGCCGGCCUGAGAGGGUGGACGGUCACACUGGGACUGAGACACGGCCCGGACUCCUACGGGAGGCAGCAGUGGGGAAUAUUGCACAAUGGGCGCAAGCCUGAUGCAGCGACGCCGCGUGAGGGAUGGAGGCCUUCGGGUUGUGAACCUCUUUCGCCAGUGAAGCAGGCCUGCCUCGUUUGUGGGUGGGUUGACGGUAGCUGGAUAAGAAGCACCGGCUAACUACGUG